CACGUAGGGUGCGAGCGUUGUCCGGAAUUACUGGGCGUAAAGGGUUCGUAGGUGGCCACCUAAGUCAGACGUGAAAUCCCUCAGCUUAAACUGGGGAACUGCGUCUGAUACUGGGUGGCUUGAGUGCAGGGAGAGGAAUGCGGAAUUCCAGGUGUAGCGGUGAAAUGCGUAGAUAUCUGGAAGGAACACCGGGUGGCGAAGGCGGCAUUCU
rnacentral:rRNA from 1 species